rnacentral:tRNA from 1 species
CAAAGUGUAGCUUAAAUACAAAGCAUCUAGCUUACACCUAGAGGAUAUCAUGCACAAAUAAUCACUUUGA